AGUAAAAGUCGUAACAAGGUUUCCGUAGGUGAACCUGCGGAAGGAUCAUUAUUGAAAUAAACCUGAUGGGUUGUUGCUGGCUCUCUAGGGAGCAUGUGCACGCCUUGUCAUCUUUAUAUCUCCACCUGUGCACUUUUUGUAGACCUGAAAAGGUCUAUGUUGCUUCAUUUUACCCCAAUGUAUGUCUAUAGAAUGUUGUGCCUAUGAUAAUAUAUACAACUUUCAGCAACGGAUCUCUUGGCUCUCGCAUCGAUGAAGAACGCAGCGAAAUGCGAUAAGUAAUGUGAAUUGCAGAAUUCAGUGAAUCAUCGAAUCUUUGAACGCACCUUGCGCUCCUUGGUAUUCCGAGGAGCAUGCCUGUUUGAGUGUCAUUAAUAUAAUCAACCUUCAACUCGUUUGAGUGGUUUGGAUGUGGGGGUUUGCUGGCCUUUCAAAAGGUUUCAGCUCCUCUGAAAUGCAUUAGCAGAACAAACCUUGUUCAUUGGUGUGAUAACUAUCUACGCUUAUGAAUGUGAGGGGCAGUUCAGCUUUCUAAUCGUCUUUGGACAAUUCAUCAUUAAUGUGACCUCAAAUCAGGUAGGACUACCCGCUGAACUUAAGCAUAUCAAUAAGCGGAGGAAAAGAAACUAACAAGGAUUCCCCUAGUAACUGCGAGUGAAGCGGGAAAAGCUCAAAUUUAAAAUCUGGCGGUCUUUUGGC
rnacentral:rRNA from 1 species